AACCGACUACAAGCUACCCAAAAAAUGUUUCGAUGCGUUGAUUACAAAUAGUGAACAACAUGUUUGUUUGUAGAAUGUAAAUUAUGAAUAUCCAAUGCUAAAGUAGCAGAACACCUGAAAGAAUGACGCUGCCAGCUCGCCUUAUCCCGGCCCGGCGAGUGGUUGUGACGGGUGUAGGACUUGUCACAUGUUUAGGUAUAGGAAAAAACAAAGUAUGGAACCGUCUUAUUAAUGGAGAUAGAUGUGGAAUACGAAGGAUUAAGGAUGAAGAGUUCCCACCAAGCAUUCCCUGUAAAAUAGCAGGAUACAUUCCUGAGGGGGCCACCGAUCUCUUUACGGCAACUGAGCAGAGACAUUUGUCUGAAGGGAUAAUGUAUACACUGACUGCAGCAGAGGAAGCUUUGACAGACGCCAACUGGAAACCUAGCACACAAGAACAACUAGAAAAAACGGGUGUGGCAGUGGGUAUGGGAUUGAAUGGAAUGAAGGAAAUAUACACAACAGCUGAUCGAUUGUUUAACAAAGGAUAUAGAGAGGUGAAUCCGUUCUUUAUGCCAAAAAUUUUGAUCAACAUGGCUGCUGGGCAUGUCAGUUUAAAAUAUGGAUUUCAGGUUUGUAAAUUCAAACAAUCUUGUAUUUAUUUCCAGUUUUUUUUUCCAAUUUGCAUGCAAAUGUAAACAAAUUUUAAUACUCAUAGUACCUGGUAUAAAGUGAGUAAUCUGAUGGUAAAACGUUUUAGAAGUUGACAGUGUGUUAAAUGAUUAAAUAAUCUGAGUGCUGAAUUCAAAAUUUUCUACCCUCAUUUCAUAAAUUGACUCCUACUGGCACACAGAGUCCCAAUUUUACACCGUCACUAUUGUUUGUAUGUUUUUUUUGGUUUAGGGUCCCAACCAUGCUGUGUCCACUGCUUGUACGACUGGUCUUCAUGCUGUGGGGGAUGCAUUCAGGUUCAUACAGAGGGGGGAGGCUGAUGUGAUGGUAGCAGGCAGUGCAGAGGAAAGCCCUAACCCCCUGAUUGUAGCAGGAUUCUCAAGGAUGAGAGCAUUAUGUACAAAGUUCAAUGACUGCCCCGCUGAAGCCUCUCGUCCGUUUGACAAAGACAGAGAUGGGUUUGUGAUGUCAGAGGGAGCGGGAAUCUUGAUUCUGGAAGAAAUGUCUCAUGCCAUUAACCGUGGGGCAUCCAUCUAUGCCGAAGUUUUAGGGUACGGUUUAUCAGGUGAUGCCCACCACAUGACUGCCCCAAGAACAGAUGGACAGGGUGCAUACAGGUGCAUGAUGGCAGCCAUUAAAGAUGCAGGGGUCAACCCAGAGGACAUUGGGUACAUCAACGCCCAUGCUACUUCCACCCCAUUAGGUGACAGAGCUGAGAGUCAAGCAAUAGGGAGGAUAUUUAAGGAGUGUAAUCAUAAACCUUUAGUGUCCUCAACAAAGGGGGCCCUGGGACAUAUGCUGGGGGCAGCAGGAUGUGUGGAAGCAGUCAUUACUGUUUUGUCCUGUCACUCAGGAGUGGCCCCGCCCACACUCAAUCUCCACCAACCAGACACUGGAGUGGAACUCGAUUAUGUCCCAUUGGUAUCCCGGAAAUGGAAUGCUGAUGUAAGGACAGCUUUAACUAAUUCAUUUGGAUUUGGUGGGACAAAUGGGACCCUGUGUAUAAGGUCUUUUAGUGAUCCUGUCUGAUUUCUAAUGUUUGACAUACUUGUAUUGCUGUUGAUUGCCUAAAAUAGUGUGCAAAAUGAUGUUUGUUAUUACAACCUUUUACUACAUCAAAUUAAAGGUUUUUGUUUCUCUGUUUU
rnacentral:misc_RNA from 1 species